rfam:Monodelphis domestica chromosome 7, whole genome shotgun sequence.
GAAUAGGCUUUUUUCAGACAAAAAUAAAAGCCAUCAAUAGUCAUAAAAAAAUGCCCU